rnacentral:misc_RNA from 1 species
ACAGCAUAAUAUUCAUGCCCUGGGAAAAUGCCUGCUUUGCCACCGGUGGUAGUGAUCAUGCUGUUAUACUUUGGAAUGAGAAAGAGACUGAGAAUUUAUGGAAGCCAAAGCAAUUGCACAGGAAUCUGCAUUCUUCAGCUGUCAUGGGAGUUGCUGGGUUGCAACAAAGGCAUAUCAUUCUAUCAGUUGGUGCAGACAAGAAAAUUAUAGGGUUUGAUGUUCAAAUAGGGAGAGCAGACUUCAGGC